UACGUAGGGGGCAAGCGUUAUCCGGAAUCAUUGGGCGUAAAGCGCGUGUAGGCGGUUCUGUAAGUCCGCUCUGAAAGCCCAGGGCUCAACCCUGGGAGGCGGGUGGAUACUACAGAACUGGAGUACGGAAGAGGAGAUUGGAAUUCCUGGUGUAGCGGUGAAAUGCGCAGAUAUCAGGAGGAACACCAACAGUGAAGGCAGAUCUCUGGGACGUUACUGACGCUGAGACGCGAAAGCGUGGGGAGCAAACAGG
rnacentral:rRNA from 1 species